rnacentral:rRNA from 1 species
GUGGCGAGAGGAUUCAGUCUGGCGUCUCGUGCGCGCUUGACCGGAAGACAAUGAUGGCUUCCCGGGAUCGGGCGCCGUCCGGUCGCGCGGUCGCGUCCCGUCAGACGCAUUUGACUCUCGCCCGAAGGACGCUGCAGCCGGUGGGGCAGUUGCAAACGUGACGGCCUGAAGGUCGGGAGAUGGCAGUUGACCGGUGGCGCGCACUCCGCGUGCCUGCCGGUUGUUAGCCGUCCCGUCAGUGGCCCGUCGCCCCACCGUGGUGUCACUAGGCCCUAACGGGCCCUCUCCGUCUCCUUAAAGUUAAGCGAGUAGAUCGCCGCUGGAGCGGACCGCCGACUCGUCGCACUCAUUGCGUGUGGACGGUUGAGCGAGUCUGCGCCGCAGGCGGACGGCAGGGCUCGCCGGAGACCGGAGGCUCGCAGCGAGUAGGUCGGUCACCCACCCGACCCGUCUUGAAACACGGACCAAGGAGUCUAACAUGUGCGCGAGUCAAUGGGUCUUGAACAGGCCCAGAGGCGCAAUGAAAGCAAAGGCUGGGCGUCGUGCCGGCCGAGUUGGGAUCCCCGCUCUCGGGCGGGGCGCACCAACGACCCGUCCCGUCCGGCUCGCCGGUGGGGCGGAGUGUGAGCGUACACGUUGGGACCCGAAAGAUGGUGAACUAUGCCCGGACAGGACGAAGCCAGAGGAAACUCUGAUGGAGGUCCGC